CAGAAAGUGCUGGGGAAAGACCCAAUGUACUUUUACCCUUGUUUUUUUACGCACCCAAAGUUUCCUCGGCGGCUUCGUCCGCCGGUUGGACAACAAUCAAACCCCUUGUAGUUGCAGUCAGCGUCGAAUAAACUUAAUAAUUAAAACUUUCAACAACGGAUCUCUUGGUUCU
rnacentral:misc_RNA from 1 species